GUUAGAGCAAAAGCUUCCAAAGUAUGGGAGUAUUUCAGGCCAACUGGUAAAAGAGUUGUCUGUACACUCUGUCAAACUUCACUUGCUUAUCAUGGCAGCACAACCACGCAUUUAAAAGGGAACACACAGGAGUUGUUCCAGAUGUACAGAGCGUUUUUUCUUUCUUCCCUUCAUGUAACCUCCGGGGCUCCGUAAAGAUGCGCCCACAGAAAAGGAAAAGACUACGGAGCAGUACGCCGUCUUCACAACUCUGAGACAAAUUGUAGGCGCUACGAACCGGAGCAAGGACUGACCUCGGCUAUGUCUGCAAGUCCAGAUUUACAUGAUGCUGACUAUGACGGCAUUGUGUACAUAUUAUGAGACAGUAAGCAGGAGCUUCAGGUAGAAAUGACCAGAUCUUUCAACCGCAGGCGGAAGCUGUGAUGAGUUCAGCUUGGAGUUGAGCGAGAAGAAAGAGGCUGCUGGAAGUGAGACAGAGUGUGCUGGAUGGAUUUUUUGUGCGUCCUUUUCGCAGCCAGGAGAGCUCACCGCCGAGCUCUGUGCCACCACGCUGCAGUCGACAUUAGAGGCGAUUCCGAAGUAUAGGGCAACGCACCACAGACAUCUGCAAAACUGACCGAAUUGGGACAGAAUGCCCGCCAGUCACUUACAGUUCCGAGGCGGCAAACAGACACUUCACGGUGCUGUAGGAUUUUGGGCUUUUCCGUGAGCUUAAUUCCCAUUUGUUAUGUAGGCUGUG